rnacentral:rRNA from 1 species
AAUUUUGGACAAUGGGGGGAACCCUGAUCCAGCCAUCCCGCGUGUGCGACGAAGGCCUUCGGGUUGUAAAGCACUUUUGGCAGGAAAGAAAUCGCAUCGCAUAAUACCCUGUCUGGAUGACGGUACCUGCAGAAUAAGCACCGGCUAACUACGUGCCAGCAGCCGCGGUAAUCCGUAGGGUGCAAGCGUUAAUCGGAAUUACUGGGCGUAAAGCGUGCGCAGGCGGUGCGGAAAGAAAGAUGUGAAAUCCCAGGGCUUAACCUUGGAACUGCAUUUUUAACUCCCGGGCUAGAGUGUGUCAGAGGGAGGUGGAAUUCCGCGUGUAGGAGUGAAAUGCGUAGAUAUGCGGAGGAACGCCGAUGGCGAAGGCAGCCUCCGGGGAUAACACUGACGCUCAUGCACGAAAGCGUGGGGAGCAAACA